rnacentral:rRNA from 1 species
GUUUUUUAAUCGACAAUCCACGUUAAUUUUCACUUUAAUUAAAAAUCUAUAUACCGCCAUCUAAAAAUUAAUUCAAUGAUGAUAUUUUUAAUAAAAAUUAAAAAGUUAGGUCAAGGUGUAAUCUACAUUAAAGUAAAUAAUGGGUUACAUUAAAAUUAAUUUAAGGAUUAUUUUACAAAAGCAUUUUUUGAAAAAGGAUUUAAAAGUAAUAAUAAAGCAAUAUUUUAUUAUGACUUAGAUAAUAAAUGUGCACACAUCGCCCGUC